rnacentral:rRNA from 1 species
GCCGUACUUAGCCCACGAACAACCAAAACACAACUACACACAACAUUCAAAACAAAACAUUUACCACCCAUAAUAGUAUAGGAGAUAGAAAUUAUCAUAGGCGCUAUAGAGACAGUACCGUAAGGGAAAAAUGAAAGAAUCUACUAAAGCAACAAACAGCAAAGAUUACACCUUGUACCUUUUGCAUAAUGAUUUAACUAGACCCACCUUAGCAAAGAGAACUUAAGUUAACGUCCCCGAAACCAGACGAGCUAUUCACGAGCAGCUUCACAGAGCAAACUCAUCUAUGUGGCAAAAUAGUGAGAAGACUUAUGAAUAGAGGUGAAAAGCCUAUCGAGCCUGGUGAUAGCUGGUUGUCCAAUAUAGAAUUUUAGUUCAAAUUUAAGCCUACCCACAAACACCCUAAUUCCACUGUAGACUUAAAAGAUAGUCUAAAGGGGGACAGCCCUUCAGACAUAGGUUACAACCUUGACUAAAGAGUAAGUACAAACACACUUCAUAGUGGGCCUAAAAGCAGCCAUCAAUAAAGAAAGCGUUCAAGCUCAACAACCCAACUACCUUAAUCCCGACCAUCACUACUAACUCUUAGCACGAAACAUUGGACCACUCUAUAACUAUAUAGAAGAGACACUGUUAAUAUGAGUAACAAGAAUUCAAUUCUCCCCGCACAAGUGUAUAUCAGAACGAAUCCCUACUGAUAGUUAACGAACACCAAAAUCAAACCAACCAACAAGCCCCCUUACCCAACCCAUCGUUAACCCAACACAGGAGUGCCCCAGGGAAAGAUUAAAAGGAGUAAAAGGAACUCGGCAAAUACAAACCCCGCCUGUUUACCAAAAACAUCACCUCUAGCAUCCCCAGUAUUAGAGGCACUGCCUGCCCAGUGACAUACGUUCAACGGCCGCGGUAUCCUGACCGUGCAAAGGUAGCAUAAUCACUUGUUCUCUAACUAAGGACUUGUAUGAACGGCCCCACGAGGGUUUUACUGUCUCUUACUCCCAAUCAGUGAAAUUGACCUCCCCGUGAAGAGGCGGGGAUACCAAAACAAGACGAGAAGACCCUAUGGAGCUUCAAUUAAUUAGCUUAAGAUAAGAUAUAAACUUAACCCCAAAAGGAAUAAUGAACCUCUUAUAAGCUAACAAUUUAGGUUGGGGUGACCUCGGAGCAUAAAACACCCUCCGAGCAAUUACAAGCCUAGACCCACCAGUCAAAGCGCCACCACUCACUGAUCCAAUCACUGAUUGAUCAACGGAACAAGUUACCCUAGGGAUAACAGCGCAAUCCUAUUUAAGAGUUCCUAUCGACAAUAGGGUUUACGACCUCGAUGUUGGAUCAGGACAUCCCAAUGGUGCAGCAGCUAUUAAUGGUUCGUUUGUUCAACGAUUAAAGUCCUACGUGAUCUGAGUUCAGACCGGAGCAAUCCAGGUCGGUUUCUAUCUAUUUCAUGCUCCUCCCAGUACGAAAGGACAAGAGAAGCAGGGCCCCCUUAAACCCUAAGCGCCCUCUAACAAAACAGAUGAUGUGAUCUCAAUCUGCUAUGUAAUAACCAAUACUGCCCCAGACCAGGGCUACU